UGAAGUUUCAUCCUACCCAUGGAAAUUUGCUGCCCGAGUUAACUGCGCGUGCGUACAUAGGCCAAUUUGCGACUGCAAACAAGCCAUAGUUUGCUACCGGGCCGUUAAACAAGAUGUUCAGGAUUUACCACUCCACUGCCCUCUGACGGCUGGGGAAUAAUUUAGGGUUAGGAGAAGAACCAAUGGAGAUCAAGCUUCAACAGGACACGACCACUGGAACCACAGACGGUUUAAUGAGCUCCAUUUACUCCUGAUUGCCUGUGACUGCUGACCUCUGAACCCAAUCCACACAGGAUGGACCACGGCUUCUUCCUCCGUCCCCUCAGGGUUGACCUUCAGCCUAUGAUACAGUGGGAUAUCACCCAGUUUGGCAGCGGAGGACCAGAAACCUUCCACGGCAAGGACACAUCUGUUGUGGAUCUAUCACCCGCACCACAGUAAGUGGCACUUCCUCGUGGGGUGACACAGGGAUACAUCACACAGUGACACAACAGCAGAAGAGGACUUGUGGAACCUUUGCCCGAGACAAAAACAGAAAACAUGGCUGGUUUCUGAGCAGACACUUAACCUGAGCAUGAACAUAUAAAUGACCAAAAUAUUCCAGACAUGUUCCUGACUCUCCAAAAACAAAGCUGCUCUUCUUGCCACAAAGCGGACGCUGGCUCGGAUCAAUAAACGAAAACACUCUUGACUUCCCCAGAGCUGCUCUCCAAACGCCAUCGGUCCUGUCCGAACCACAAAGAGGCCAACUUUGUCAACCAGAGGUAGGACGCUGCACAGACGACUGGACGAGGAGACACACAACUACUAACCUUGCAAUUAGAGAAAAGACACAAACUGUGUGUGGCAUUAUGGAGAAAAUGCUCAUUCCACGUCCUUCUUUUCUCCCCCACUGUCUGCCUCCAGGCCAGCUCAGGGCAGUCCUCUGACAUUGGUUUAGAGCUGGAUAAACUUUCUCAGCAUAGCAACGGUAACCAAGUGGAGUGGAGGAGCGUGGCAUGCAAAUUUUGAUAGUCUGCUAAAGAGGUUUCAUUCUGUUGGUCAGUCUGUCUGACUGUCAG